UACGUAGGGUGCAAGCGUUAAUCGGAAUUACUGGGCGUAAAGCGUGCGCAGGCGGCCAUGCAAGACAGAUGUGAAGUCCCCGGGCUCAACCUCGGAACUGCCUUCGAUACUGCGGGUCUCGAGUCCGGGAGAGGUGAGUGGAAUUCCUAGUGUAGAGGUGAAAUUCGUAGAUAUUAGGAAGAACACCAGUGGCGAAGGCGGCUCACUGGCCCGGUACUGACGCUGAGGCGCGAAAGCGUGGGGAGCAAACAGG
rnacentral:rRNA from 1 species